AAAAGCUCCGGCAGUAUAGGAUGGUCCCGCGUCUGAUUAGCUGGUUGGCGGGGUAACGGCCCACCAAGGCGACGAUCAGUAGCCGGCUUGAGAGAGUGGACGGCCACAUUGGGACUGAGACACGGCCCAAACUCCUACGGGAGGCAGCAGUGGGGAAUAUUGCACAAUGGGGGGAACCCUGAUGCAGCGACGCCGCGUGAGUGAAGAAGUAUUUCGGUAUGUAAAGCUCUAUCAGCAGGGAAGAAAAAAGACGGUACCUGACUAAGAAGCCCCGGCUAACUACGUGCCAGCAGCCGCGGUAAUACGUAGGGGGCAAGCGUUAUCCGGAAUUACUGGGUGUAAAGGGUGCGUAGGUGGCAUGGUAAGUCAGAAGUGAAAGCCCGGGGCUUAACCCCGGGACUGCUUUUGAAACUGUCAUGCUGGAGUGCAGGAGAGGUAAGCGGAAUUCCUAGUGUAGCGGUGAAAUGCGUAGAUAUUAGGAGGAACACCAGUGGCGAAGGCGGCUUACUGGACUGUCACUGACACUGAUGCACGAAAGCGUGG
rnacentral:rRNA from 1 species